rnacentral:rRNA from 1 species
GCAUUUUCUUUCACCGUAGCUUGCUACACCGGAAGAAAAUGAGUGGCGAACGGGUGAGUAACACGUGGGUAACCUGCCCAUCAGCGGGGGAUAACACUUGGAAACAGGUGCUAAUACCGCAUAAUUCCUUYUACCGCAUGGUAGAUGGAUGAAAGGCGCUUUUGCGUCACUGAUGGAUGGACCCGCGGUGCAUUAGCUAGUUGGUGGGGUAACGGCCUACCAAGGCUGCGAUGCAUAGCCGACCUGAGAGGGUGAUCGGCCACACUGGGACUGAGACACGGCCCAGACUCCUACGGGAGGCAGCAGUAGGGAAUCUUCGGCAAUGGACGCAAGUCUGACCGAGCAACGCCGCGUGAGUGAAGAAGGUUUUCGGAUCGUAAAACUCUGUUGUUAGAGAAGAACAAGGAUGAGAGUGGAAAGUUCAUCCCUUGACGGUAUCUAACCAGAAAGCCACGGCUAACUACGUGCCAGCAGCCGCGGUAAUACGUAGGUGGCAAGCGUUGUCCGGAUUUAUUGGGCGUAAAGCGAGCGCAGGCGGUCUUUUAAGUCUGAUGUGAAAGCCCCCGGCUUAACCGGGGAGGGUCAUUGGAAACUGGGAGACUUGAGUGCAGAAGAGGAAAGCGGAAUUCCAUGUGUAGCGGUGAAAUGCGUAG